rnacentral:rRNA from 1 species
CAGUAGCCGCGGGAAAACGGAGGGGGCUAGCGUUGUUCGGAAUUACUGGGCGUAAAGCGCACGUAGGCUGCUUUGUAAGUCAGAGGUGAAAGCCCGGGGCUCAACCCCGGAUGUGCCUUUGAGACUGCAGGGCUAGAACGUCGGAGAGGUGAGUGGAAUUCCGAGUGUAGAGGUGAAAUUCGUAGAUAUUCGGAGGAACACCAGUGGCGAAGGCGGCUCACUGGUCCAUUACUGACGCUGAGGUGCGAAAGCGUGGGGAGCAAACAGGAUUAGAUACCCCGGUAGUCCCUGUCUCUUAUAU